UAGGGAAUCUUCCACAAUGGACGCAAGUCUGAUGGAGCAACGCCGCGUGAGUGAAGAAGGUCUUCGGAUCGUAAAACUCUGUUGUUAGAGAAGAACACGAGUGAGAGUAACUGUUCAUUCGAUGACGGUAUCUAACCAGCAAGUCACGGCUAACUACGUGCCCUG
rnacentral:rRNA from 1 species